CAUUUAUUUUUUUUCACCUUGAAAACAAAAAUCCUACACCAAAAAGUAAAUUAAAAUGUUAUUAACAAUUUAACAUAUUGCAAUAUUGAUAAUAAUCAUUGUAAAAUUUCAAAAUAUCAAAUAUAUAGCAAUUUUGUAGUAUUUUUAAGGAAAUAAUAAUUAAACAAGACAAAACUUUACCUAUCAUACUCACACAAAUCCAAGGAUUUGAAGCAAUGGCAAAACGUAGCACUUGUUGGAUGUAAAAAUAAAAAAAAAAAGGAUUUGGAGAAGGAAAUGAAGGGAAAGAGAUGGCAAAAUGUAGCAGUGGCGGCUAAGUUGCUAGGAGGUGAGGGAAAAGUGCGUGUGA
rnacentral:lncRNA from 1 species